rnacentral:rRNA from 1 species
UACGUAGGGUGCGAGCGUUGUCCGGAUUUAUUGGGCGUAAAGGGCUCGUAGGCGGCGUGUCGCGUCGGGAGUGAAAGACCGGGGCUUAACCCCGGUUCUGCUUCCGGUACGGGCAUGCUGGAGUGUGGCAGGGGAGACUGGAAGUUCCUGGUGUAGCGGUGGAAUGCGCAGAUAUCAGGAGGAACACCGGUGGCGAAGGCGGGUCUCUAGUACGGUACUGACGCUGAGACGCGAAAGCGUGGGGAGCGAACAGG